UACGUAGGGUGCAAGCGUUGUCCGGAAUUAUUGGGCGUAAAGAGCUCGUAGGCGGUUUGUCACGUCGGCCGUGAAAACUCGGGGCUCAACCCCGAGCCUGCGGUCGAUACGGGCAGACUAGAGUGCUGUAGGGGAGACUGGAAUUCCUGGUGUAGCGGUGAAAUGCGCAGAUAUCAGGAGGAACACCGGUGGCGAAGGCGGGUCUCUGGGCCGUAACUGACGCUGAGGAGCGAAAGCGUGGGGAGCGAACAGG
rnacentral:rRNA from 1 species